rnacentral:rRNA from 1 species
AUUGAACGCUGGCGGCAGGCUUAACACAUGCAAGUCGAGCGGAGAUGAGGUGCUUGCACCUUAUCUUAGCGGCGGACGGGUGAGUAAUGCUUAGGAAUCUGCCUAUUAGUGGGGGACAACAUUCCGAAAGGAAUGCUAAUACCGCAUACGUCCUACGGGAGAAAGCAGGGGAUCUUCGGACCUUGCGCUAAUAGAUGAGCCUAAGUCGGAUUAGCUAGUUGGUGGGGUAAAGGCCUACCAAGGCGACGAUCUGUAGCGGGUCUGAGAGGAUGAUCCGCCACACUGGGACUGAGACACGGCCCAGACUCCUACGGGAGGCAGCAGUGGGGAACAUUGGACAAUGGGGGGAACCCUGAUCCAGCCAUGCCGCGUGUGUGAAGAAGGCCUUAUGGUUGUAAAGCACUUUAAGCGAGGAGGAGGCUACUGAGACUAAUACUCUUGGAUAGUGGACGUUACUCGCAGAAUAGGCACCGGCUAACUCUGUGCCAGCCGCCGCCGUAAGAC